GAUGAACGCUGGCGGCGUGCCUAAUACAUGCAAGUCGAGCGAACAGACGAGGAGCUUGCUCCUCUGACGUUAGCGGCGGACGGGUGAGUAACACGUGGAUAACCUACCUAUAAGACUGGGAUAACUUCGGGAAACCGGAGCUAAUACCGGAUAAUAUAUUGAACCGCAUGGGUCAAUAGUGAAAGACGGUUUUGCUGUCACUUAUAGAUGGAUCCGCGCCGCAUUAGCUAGUUGGUAAGGUAACGGCUUACCAAGGCAACGAUGCGUAGCCGACCUGAGAGGGUGAUCGGCCACACUGGAACUGAGACACGGUCCAGACUCCUACGGGAGGCAGCAGUAGGGAAUCUUCCGCAAUGGGCGAAAGCCUGACGGAGCAACGCCGCGUGAGUGAUGAAGGUCUUCGGAUCGUAAAACUCUGUUAUUAGGGAAGAACAACUGUGUAAGUAACUAUGCACGUCUUGACGGUACCUAAUCAGAAAGCCACGGCUAACUACGUG
rnacentral:rRNA from 1 species